GUAACACGUACGCAACCUUCCCGUUACUGUGGGAUAGCCCAGGGAAACUUGGAUUAAUACCACAUAUUGCCAUUGGGAGGCAUCUCUUGAUGGCCAAAGAAUUUCGGUAACGGAUGGGCGUGCGGUUGAUUAGGUAGUUGGCGGGGUAACGGCCCACCAAGCCUACGAUCAAUAGCUGAUGUGAGAGCAUGAUCAGCCACACGGGCACUGAGACACGGGCCCGACUCCUACGGGAGGCAGCAGUAAGGAAUAUUGGGCAAUGGACGCAAGUCUGACCCAGCCAUGCCGCGUGAAGGAUGAAGGUCCUCUGGAUUGUAAACUUCUUUUUUCUGGGGAGAAAUGCAUCUUUUCUAAGGUGUUCGACGGUACCAGAAGAAUAAGCACCGGCUAACUCCGUGCCAGCAGCCGCGGUAAUACGGAGGGUGCAAGCGUUAUCCGGAUUCACUGGGUUUAAAGGGUGCGUAGGUGGGCAUGUAAGUCAGAGGUGAAAUCCCCGAGCUUAACUUGGGAACUGCCUUUGAUACUAUAUGUCUUGAAUGUUGUGGAGGUAAGCGGAAUAUGUCAUGUAGCGGUGAAAUGCUUAGAUAUGACAUAGAACACCGAUUGCGAAGGCAGCUUGCUACACAAAUAUUGACACUGAGGCA
rnacentral:rRNA from 1 species